AUUGAACGCUGGCGGCAUGCUUUACACAUGCAAGUCGAACGGUAACAGGGAGCUUGCUCCGCUGACGAGUGGCGAACGGGUGAGUAAUAUAUCGGAACGUACCCAAGAGUGGGGGAUAACGUAGCGAAAGUUACGCUAAUACCGCAUACGAUCUACGGAUGAAAGUGGGGGAUCGCAAGACCUCAUGCUCCUGGAGCGGCCGAUAUCUGAUUAGCUAGUUGGUGAGGUAAAGGCUCACCAAGGCGACGAUCAGUAGCUGGUCUGAGAGGACGACCAGCCACACUGGAACUGAGACACGGUCCAGACUCCUACGGGAGGCAGCAGUGGGGAAUUUUGGACAAUGGGCGCAAGCCCGAUCCAGCAAUGCCGCGUGAGUGAAGAAGGCCUUCGGGUUGUAAAGCUCUUUUGUCAGGGAAGAAACGGGAGUGGCUAAUAUCCAUUCCUAAUGACGGUACCUGAAGAAUAAGCACCGGCUAACUACGUGCCAGCCGCCGCAGUAA
rnacentral:rRNA from 1 species